UACGGAGGAUGCGAGCGUUAUCCGGAUUUAUUGGGUUUAAAGGGUGCGCAGGCGGUCUGUUAAGUCAGCGGUCAAAGCCCGGGCUCAACCCGGCCCGACCGUUGAACUGGCAGUCUCGAGUUGGAGAGAAGUAUGCGGAAUGCGCGGUGUAGCGGUGAAAUGACGUAGAUAUCAGGAGGAAUACCGUUAGCGAAGCGGCAAUCUGGCUGGAAACUGACGCUGAGGUGCGAAAGCGUGGGUAGCAAACAGG
rnacentral:rRNA from 1 species